UCAUUUUUUUUUUUUUUUUUUUAUUGCUUUUUUUCU
rnacentral:ribozyme from 1 species